ensembl:lncRNA
UUUCCUUCCCAGACCCGAAAAGCCCCACCACUGAGCCCCAUUGCUGGGCCCUGGCGCAGGGCAGUUUGGUGUAUACAACACCGGAUGUAUGGAACGUGGCAGCUCCCCCUGAGAGCAGCCAAGUGUGAAAAAGAGUGAGUGUGAGCCAGGAGGAGAGAAAGCACUGGGGGGAGAGGGGCCAAGCAAAGCAUACUCGGCUCAGGGAGGCUCUGCAGUGGUGAGCACAGAGGAUGAGUAACCCCAUGUGCAUGCAACACCAUGAACGUGAGCAAGGGAGGUGAGUGCCCAAGAGCAAGGCAAGCAUGAGCAGUAGGAAAACAUCCACCCUCCCCCAGCCUUCUGGGGUGGGCCUGGCAUUGUCUGCUAGCAUGCAAUCCGUGGGGCUGCAACAGCACACGGGUGGGGUGGUGCUGGGGGAGCAGCAUCCAGGCAGGUGCUCUGUCGUAGGGCUGGGGCUCUGCCAUAGGGUGAGGGCUUUGCCAUGGGGCAAGGGCUCUGCCAUGGGGUGGGAGCUCUGCUAUGGAGCUGGAGCUGUGUCAUAGGGUGUGGGCUCCUCCAUAGGGCUCUGCCAUAGGGUGGGGGCUCUGCCAUGGAACAGGGGCUCUACGAUGGGCCAGGGCUCUGCCUUGGCAUGGGGGCUCUACCAUGGUGCAAGAGCUCUGCCAUGGGGCAGGGGUUUUGCCAUGGGGAAAGGGCUCUGCUGUGGAGUGGAGGGCUUUGCCAUGAGGCCAGGGGCCCUGCCAUGGGACAGAGGCUCUACUAUGGGCCAGGGCUCUGCCAUGGAAUGGGGCAAAUCGGUGGAGUUGCACACACAGCUCAGGAGGAUGCAGACACACCCGGCGCUGUGCAGAGGGGCUCAUAGUGCAGCACUGCGCUCACUUCCUGCUCCACUCUCUGCAAAGGUCAGAGCAGAAGCGAGAUGCAAAUGUUGGCGAGUGGGAAGCAGCAGGAAGCACUGAGCCGGGAGGAGGAAGGGCCCAUCUGCUCCCUGCGGUCUGCAGCCAGGAGGGAGGAUGGCAGAGAGCACCCGGGGGGGGGGGGGGGGGGGGGGGGGGGGGCAGGAAGAGUUGGGGCUGUCCAACCCUGCAGGGCAUCCCACCACCAGGCUGGGAAAAUGGGUUUGACAGAGGAGCCGAGAGGACUGCAGCUGCUCUUCCCAGGAGGAAAGAGCUCCUGGCUGUGGCCAUGGGAGGGCAGUGGGAGCAGAGGGGCAGCAGAGUUCAGCAGCUGGGGGGGCUCAGAAGGGAAGCGUGAUGGAGAACUUCACUCCAGUGCCUGGUCCCUAGGAAUAGAAUCAGAGAAUCAUGGGAUGGUUUGGGCUGGAAGGGACCUUCAAGAUCAUGGAAUCAUGGGAUGCUUUGGGCUGGAAGGGGCCUUCAAGAUCAUGGAAACAUGGGAUGGUUUAGGUUGGAAGGGACCUUCAAGAUCAUGGAAUCAUGGGAUGGUUUGGGUUGGCUUGGAACCUGUCAGACCACCUCAUUGCAACCCCCUGCUGUAGGCAGGGACACCUCUCACCAGCCCAGGCUGCUCACAGCCCCGUGCCAGGUCCUGGCAGGACACUAUAAGGUCCCCCUGGCGCCUUCUCUUCUCCAUGCUGAAUAUCCCCAGCUCUCUGGCCCUGUCCCAGUAGUGGAGGUACUACAGCCUUGUGAUCAUCUUCGUGGUCCUCCUCUGUACCCUCUCAAACAGCUCCAUGUUCUUUUGUUGGGGGCCCAGGUGGGGUCUCACGAGAGCAAAGCAGAGGGGCAGAACCCCCCCGAUUUACUGGUCACACUUCUCUUGAUGCAGUCCAUGAUCUGGUUGGCCUUCUGUGCUGUGAGCACACACUGCCAGCUCACGUUGUGUCUUUCACCCACCAACACCCCCAAAUCCUUCUCCUCAGUGCUCCCCUCAAGCCAUUCUCUGCCCAACCUGCAUCUGUGCUUGGGAUUGCCCCGACCCAGGUGCAGCACCUUGCACUUGGCCUUGCUGAAUUCCAUGAGGUUGGCAUGGGCUCCCCC